rnacentral:lncRNA from 1 species
AAUUUUCCAUUUUCAACAGGGAUCAGGAAGUUCACCAGGGUGAAUUGAUUGCAGCUGAGGAGCACUCGGACUGAGUCUUUCCAAUACACUUGGAGAAGUCAUGAACUUCAGGAAGAGCCUGAAGGAAUCAGGCAAGAGGACAAGAGGAAAGAAAGAGCUCAAUCAGCCAGGAAGUCUGCACAUGCACUGGAGCAGCCCUGGUGCACUGUGGGCACAGGGCCUGUCUGUUCCAACACGGUUCACAGAUGUUUACCAAACUCAUUUCCCCAGCUGGAGAAUGCUAAUAUUCUAAGACAGUCCCCAUGAUUCCCCUGAGCAGUGGGUGGAAACCCCUGUCAGAACAAGGAGGAAAUGAGUGUUUCAGAGUACACAGGAGUGGGAAGGUGUACCUAUAUAAGGGACUGUUGACAAGAACAUGAAUCAUCCCUUUGUAUAACAUCCCAUUCAUAUAGCUGUGGUCCAUAGAACAAGGUCCCCAGACAUAUCUAGGUCCUAAUCCCUGGAACCUGUGAAAAUUCCCUCAUAUGACAAAAGAGACUUUGCAGCUGUAAUUAAGAAUCUUCUGAUGGAGAGAAUAUCAUGGACCAUUCAGGUAGCCCCCAAAUGUAAUCAUGUAGUCACACGUAGUUUAUAAAAGGGGGGUGUCAACAUGAAUAAAAAAGGAAAGAAACUCAGAGAGAGUCUCUCUAAAACAAAAGAUUUACAUUGAGAUUAGCAAAGGGUUGCAAACCAUAGUGGGCAGAUUAUGAAAAUCAAAAACUCAUGGGAGUGGAGAGGAUGAGACCAAGAGGGAAUUUGUCAGAGCUAAGCAGCCAGGUGUAGUGGCACAUGCCUGAAAUCUCAGUGGCUUGGGAGGCUGACGCAGG